rnacentral:lncRNA from 1 species
ACCUUUUCAUGGCUUCUUCUUCUUUCCUUAGUCAGAUUCUCUUCUCUUCGCCACCCACUAACCUUCCAUCUCGAUCAGACCCUCUAUAAUCUUUCUUCCCUCAGAAUCUGACUUGCUCUUCUCCUUCUACCAUGUGGCGUUUUGAGUCGUUAGCGGUUUCGCUGAACGGAAGUAUAUCUAUUACCUGAUAGUCGGAGAAAUGUAUCGGAGGUGAGGCACUUCAUCGUCGUUGUCUCCGGCUGGUCGUCAAUCAAAUCUCUCCGGUGAAUUUCUUAACUUUCUUAGAAAUGAGAUUUUAGAUUUGAAGGGUUGCAAAGUCUCGAUCUUUCAGGAUGUUAAUGCUAAUCAAAAACAGAGCUUUAAAGCAAAUGGUGACACGGUAAGCACUUCGCCGGCGGCGAUGACCUAGAGAAUGUUACAUUAGAGUAUCCAAGAGGAAGACAACUUUAGCUUUAGAGAUCCUGCAGGACGUUGACCAAAUCCGAAAGAGUUCGAUCGUAAAGGAACUGCGAGGAUGAUGGUAAAAGGAUGAAUCCAUACCUUUUUAUAGGUGAGAAUCACCGACUGGAUGAAUUGUAAGAAUCAUUGACUGCAAAAUCGUGGUUGUAGUGGGCAUGAGAAGUUAAGUAUUGGUUAAUGACGUUCAAUUAAGUCGAUUGGUAUGUGAGAUAACAAACUAAGUCCCACAUUGGAGAAUUAGACAAGGAGUGUCUAAUAUAUAAAGAGAUGUCCAACUCUAAUAGUACGAGGCCUUUUGGGAUGGAAACCAAAAGUAAAUCUAUGCGGGUCUGCCUCUUAGGCCCAAAGUGGACAAUAUCGUACUAAUCGGAUAAUAUAGAGUAUGGCAUGAGAUUUAACAAUCCCAACAAUUGGUAUCAGAGCGGUUGAUGAGAAAUCUGUAAAAGACCAAUAUAUCCUUCGAGAGAUGAAUGGUAUCCUAUGAGUUAGGAAUGAGAGGUGUGUGGCAGAGAUCAAGUCAAAAGAUUCUGGAAGUCAGUUGUGGGACACGAGAUGAAUGUGAUCCUUAGUUUGAGGGGGAGAAUGUGAGAUAACAAACUAAGUCCCACAUUGCAGAAUUAGACAAGGAGUGUCGUGUCUAAUAUAUAAAGAGAUGUCCAACUCUAAUAGUAUGAGGCCCAUACCUUUUUAUAGGUGAGAAUCACCGACUGGAUGAAUUGUAAGAAUCAUUGACUGCAAAAUCGUGGUUGUAGUGGGCAUGAGAAGUUAAGUAUUGGUUAAUGACGUUCAAUUAAGUCGAUUGGUAUGUGAGAUAACAAACUAAGUCCCACAUUGGAGAAUUAGACAAGGAGUGUCUAAUAUAUAAAGAGAUGUCCA